rnacentral:rRNA from 1 species
AGAGUUUGAUCCUGGCUCAGGAUGAACGCUAGCGACAGGCUUAACACAUGCAAGUCGAGGGGCAGCACAGGUAGCAAUACCGGGUGGCGACCGGCGCACGGGUGAGUAACGCGUAUGCAACUUGCCUAUCAGAGGGGGAUAACCCGGCGAAAGUCGGACUAAUACCGCAUGAAGCAGGGAUCCCGCAUGGGAAUAUUUGCUAAAGAUUCAUCGCUGAUAGAUAGGCAUGCGUUCCAUUAGGCAGUUGGCGGGGUAACGGCCCACCAAACCGACGAUGGAUAGGGGUUCUGAGAGGAAGGUCCCCCACAUUGGUACUGAGACACGGACCAAACUCCUACGGGAGGCAGCAGUGAGGAAUAUUGGUCAAUGGCCGAGAGGCUGAACCAGCCAAGUCGCGUGAGGGAUGAAGGUUCUAUGGAUCGUAAACCUCUUUUAUAAGGGAAUAAAGUGCGGGACGUGUCCCGUUUUGUAUGUACCUUAUGAAUAAGGAUCGGCUAACUCCGUGCCAGCAGCCGCGGUAAUACGGAGGAUCCGAGCGUUAUCCGGAUUUAUUGGGUUUAAAGGGUGCGUAGGCGGCCUUUUAAGUCAGCGGUGAAAGUCUGUGGCUCAACCAUAGAAUUGCCGUUGAAACUGGGGGGCUUGAGUAUGUUUGAGGCAGGCGGAAUGCGUGGUGUAGCGGUGAAAUGCAUAGAUAUCACGCAGAACCCCGAUUGCGAAGGCAGCCUGCCAAGCCAUUACUGACGCUGAUGCACGAAAGCGUGGGGAUCAAACAGGAUUAGAUACCCUGGUAGUCCACGCAGUAAACGAUGAUCACUAGCUGUUUGCGAUACACUGUAAGCGGCACAGCGAAAGCGUUAAGUGAUCCACCUGGGGAGUACGCCGGCAACGGUGAAACUCAAAGGAAUUGACGGGGGCCCGCACAAGCGGAGGAACAUGUGGUUUAAUUCGAUGAUACGCGAGGAACCUUACCCGGGUUUGAACGCAUUCGGACCGAGGUGGAAACACCUUUUCUAGCAAUAGCCGUUUGCGAGGUGCUGCAUGGUUGUCGUCAGCUCGUGCCGUGAGGUGUCGGCUUAAGUGCCAUAACGAGCGCAACCCUUGCCACUAGUUACUAACAGGUGAUGCUGAGGACUCUGGUGGGACUGCCAGCGUAAGCUGCGAGGAAGGCGGGGAUGACGUCAAAUCAGCACGGCCCUUACAUCCGGGGCGACACACGUGUUACAAUGGCGUGGACAAAGGGAGGCCACCUGGCGACAGGGAGCGAAUCCCCAAACCACGUCUCAGUUCGGAUCGGAGUCUGCAACCCGACUCCGUGAAGCUGGAUUCGCUAGUAAUCGCGCAUCAGCCAUGGCGCGGUGAAUACGUUCCCGGGCCUUGUACACACCGCC